rnacentral:rRNA from 1 species
UACGGAGGAGGCAAGCGUUAUCCGGAAUUGUUGGGCGUAAAGCGUCCGCAGGUGGCAAUUCAAGUCUGUGGUUAAAGACUGGGGCUUAACCCUGGAAAGGCCAUGGAAACUGAAUAGCUAGAGUGCAGUAGGGGUAGAGGGAAUUCCCGGUGUAGCGGUGAAAUGCGUAGAGCUCGGGAAGAACAUCGGUGGCGAAAGCGCUCUGCUGGACUGCAACUGACACUCAGGGACGAAAGCUAGGGGAGCGAAUGGG